GACGAACCGUGCGAACGUUGUUCGGAAUCACUGGGCUUAAAGGGCGCGUAGGCGGGCUGCCAAGUCCGGGGUGAAAGCCCUCCGCUCAACGGAGGAAUGGCCUUGGAUACUGGCGAUCUUGAGUCCGGGAGAGGUGAGUGGAACUGCGAGUGUAGAGGUGAAAUUCGUAGAUAUUCGCAAGAACACCAGUGGCGAAGGCGGCUCACUGGCCCGGUACUGACGCUGAGGUGCGAAAGCGUGGGGAGCAAACAGG
rnacentral:rRNA from 1 species